rnacentral:misc_RNA from 1 species
GUAGGUGAACCUGCGGAAGGAUCAUUAAUUAAAUCUAUAAGCCGUAAGAAGGUUGAUGAGCGUAACGCGUAAGCGUAAGCGAGUUGCCUUCCAAGGCCAGAUUUGACAGUAAUCGUGCGAAAGUGCGAUUCAGGCAAAUCUGCAAAUGAUCACCAAAAUGUGAAUUUAUUCAAUUUUGGGGAUCGCAUACGCUAUCUUUACAGAUAGCACAGAAGCUGCAGCAAGGUUAGCUCCUGACGGAAACUAAUCUUGCCUUGCACGCAACCACGAUAUAUAUUGACAAUGCAGACAAAAAAUACAAAACUUUUAACAAUGGAUCUCUUGGCUCUU